rnacentral:rRNA from 1 species
CUACGGGAGGCAGCAGUAAGGGAUAUUGCGACAAUGGGCGAAAGCCUGACGCAGCAACGCCGCGUGCGGGAUGACGGCCUUCGGGUUGUAAACCGCUUUUCGGGGGGAAGAGGAAGGACGGUACCCCCGGAAUAAGUCUCGGCUAACUACGUGCCAGCAGCCGCGGUAAUACGUAGGUGGCGAACGUUAUCCGGAAUCACUGGGCGUAAAGGGUCCGCAGGUGGCAUGUCAAGUCGAUUGUGAAAGCUCCCGGCUCAACUGGGAGAGGACGGUCGAAACUGGCAAACUAGAGUCCGACAGAGGUCGGCGGAAUUCCCGGUGUAGUGGUGGAAUGCGUAGAUAUCGGGAGGAACGCCAAAAGCGAAAGCAGCCGGCUGGGUCGAGACUGACACUGAGGGACGAAAGCGUGGGUAGCGAACAGGAUUAGAAACCCCUGUAGUCC